rnacentral:lncRNA from 1 species
GGAAAGACGUGUUCCCGUUCGAUCUUACCAGCUGCCCCAGGCAAGCGUGCCCACCGAGGCCGACAGCUCGAGCAACGCGACGUUGGAGCAUGAUGCAGAAGGAGAACCAAUGGAAUGUAACGCUGUUCCGGACGAGAGCUCAGGCGACUUCAUUCAAAAUACAGAAGAGAUUGCUGCUGAAGCUCAGAAGCUAUCCAGAGAAAUCGGCAUUCAGGUGGACACUACAAGCAUCCCAUUUUCCAGAGGACAGCUUAUCACUAUUUCAAAGGUUCCUGAUGAGCAUGGUCUACUUGUCCUCAUAGGCAUUG